UACGGAGGGUGCAAGCGUUUAUCCGGAUUUACUGGGUUUAAAGGGUGUGUAGGCGGGCAUUUUAAGUCUGGGGUGAAAUCUCCGAGCUCAACUCGGAAACUGCCUUGGAUACUAUUUGUCUUUGAAUUAUGUUGAGGUUGGCGGAAUAUAACAUGUAGCGGUGAAAUGCAUAGAUAUGUUAUAGAACACCGAUUGCGAAGGCAGCUAACUAAGCAUAUAUUACGCUGAGGCACGAAAAGCGUGGGGGAUCAAAACAG
rnacentral:rRNA from 1 species